AAACAUAGCCCUAAGAAUUUAUUUAGGGUAAGAUCUGCCCAAUGAAAUUUUAAAUGGCCGCGGUACUCUGACCGUGCUAAGGUAGCAUAAUCAAUUGACUUUUAAAUGAAGUCUGGAAUGAAAGAGGAAACGGAAUUCAGCUGUCUCAAUUUCUUUAAUUUUAAGUUACUAACUAGGUGAAAAGGCCUAGAAAAGAUAAAAGACGAGAAGACCCUAAGAGUUUGAAGUUCUUUUUGUUGGGGCAACAAAGGAUCAAGCCUAAAUAUCCUAAGAGCUUAUAAGACGGUGUUUACAUGAAUAGAUAAACUACCUUAGGGAUAACAGCAUAAUUCUACAAUUUGAGUUUGUGACCUCGAUGUUGGACUAGGAAGCCUUUAGGCUAGCUGCCUAAACAGGAGAUUCUGUUCGAAUUAUUACUCCUACGUGAUCUG
rnacentral:rRNA from 1 species